CUGCUCGUGGGCUUUUCUUAGCAAAAUUUGUAUUUUCUUCUUCAUUGAAUUAAGGGAAACGGGUUAAAUGACUUGUAAAGAAUCACACAGCAGAAUCCUGACUCCAGGCUCAGGGUUUCACUGAGCAUCUAGCUUUCCAUUUCUCUCUCUCUCCCUCCUGCUCUCUUCCUCUGCCUUUCUCUUCUCCUCCUUUCCCCACCCCAUCACUGUUCCAGAAGAGCGGAAUUGACUUUGGAGUAGGCAAGAUCAGUGCAAGCUUGGUGUCUUUGGACUAGUCACUUCUCCCCCAGGCAAAUUAGAAAGAGGGCGAAGAAAAGGAAUUUGGGGGAUUGGUAGGGAGGGGAGAGCUAGCUGAACAGAUUUAACCUGGGGCAGCUACCUAAAAUGAGUUGGGAUGUUGUUUUCCCAAAGUAAUUUUUGUGGUUAACUUUAUUCGAAGGUUGUAUUAUUAUUAACAUUUUCAGACUACGUGUGAGGACCUUGUAAAUUGCUUGAUCUGGGUCAGUACCCACAAAACACAAUUUGGGACAAAGGACACGGGAUGGGGUGGGGUAAGGUACUAUUAAAGAGGUUAUACAAGAGACGCACAUCCAGCUCUCAAGACCGGUGGCAGAAUUCUUGAAAUUGAUGGGAGAAAACCCCAAGCCUCACUUUUCUAACUUCGUCAGUAUAUAAAAUCCAGGAGAGUUUUAAACUUUGCGCAGUUAAAGUAAACCAAUGAAACCCUUUUAAGCUCUUCUAGUGUGACGGCAAAGUCUCGGCGCUGGGAGGCGGGACUUCUUUUAACGAAGUUGAAAAACUUCCGGUAAGAGGUGUGGUACAUGAUCCGGAGCAAGAUGGCGGCAGAGGGGGAGCGGUUGACCUUGGUUGACGGAGAUGUGGAGCGGUUAGAUUUCUUACGGGAUAGACAUGUUCGAUUCUUCCAGCGUUGUCUCCAGGUCUUGCCUGAGCGCUAUUCUUCCCUCGAAACGAGCAGGUUGACAAUUGCAUUUUUUGCACUCUCUGGGCUGGAUAUGUUGGAUUCAUUAGAUGUGGUGAACAAAGAUGAUAUCAUAGAAUGGAUUUACUCCCUGCAGGUUCUUCCCACAGAAGACAGAUCAAAUUUAAACCGCUGUGGAUUCCGAGGUUCUUCAUACCUGGGUAUUCCAUUCAAUCCAUCUAAGGAUCUUGGCAUAGCUCAUCCUUAUGACAGUGGACAUAUAGCAAUGACUUACACUGGCUUGUCAUGUUUGGUUAUUCUUGGAGAUGAUUUAAGCAGAGUAAAUAAAGAAGCCUGCUUAGCGGGGUUGAGAGCACUUCAACUGGAAGAUGGAAGUUUUUGUGCUAUACCCGAAGGUAGUGAGAAUGACAUGAGAUUUGUCUACUGUGCUUCCUGUAUUUGUUAUAUGCUCAACAAUUGGUCAGGCAUGGACACAAAGAAAGCCAUAGACUAUAUUAGAAGAAGUAUGUCUUAUGACAAUGGACUGGCACAGGGAGCUGGACUAGAAUCUCAUGGAGGAUCAACUUUUUGUGGCAUUGCAUCCUUAUGUCUGAUGGAUAAAUUAGAAGAGGUUUUUUCUGAAAAAGAAUUAAACAGGAUAAAGAGAUGGUGCAUAAUGAGGCAACAGACUGGUUAUCAUGGACGACCUAAUAAGCCUGUAGAUACCUGCUAUUCUUUUUGGGUGGGAGCAACCUUAAAGCUGCUGAAAAUAUUUCAAUAUACCAAUUUUGAGAAAAACAGAAAUUAUAUCUUAUCAACUCAAGAUCGCCUUGUAGGUGGAUUUGCUAAGUGGCCAGAUAGCCAUCCAGGAUUCAUGUACUUGUGACGUGAAAGACUUGCAAUCUGCUUCUGUUCUAAUUUUUCUCAUACCAUACUUUUUAAUAUUCAGAUCAAGUAUGCCUUUUGAAUUUAUUGUGGAGCCUAUAAGUUGUUGGUUUAAGUUUAAUUUUUGGCUGACUGCUUUAUCUUAAAUUACUGGCAUUUUCAUCAAAUAGUUCUUUACUAAAUAAUUUGUUUUCAUAUUAAUCAAAUACUGAAGUAUUAAGUUCCAUUAUUUCUAAUGCUCCCUUGUCUAUCCUUUUCCACUGUUUAUUUAUUUAUUUAUCUUUUAGAUUAAUACCAAGUGGUAUUAAUGACUUCUACUUUAUAGUUCGAAGUCUGGAAGUACUAUUUCUCCCUUUCAUCCUUUCCCUUCUUUCAUUAUUUCCCAUGAUACUCAAGAUCUUUUGUUUUCCCAAAUGAAAUUUGUUAUUUUCAUGAGGUCCUAUAUAGUGUUACUCUGACAGUUCAAUAUAUAGCAUUAAAGCUAUAAAUUAACGUGAUUAUUUUUAGUAUAUUGGCACAGCUUAGCCAUGAGCACUGCAUAUUUUUCUAGUCAUUUAAACUCUGUAUUUCUUUAAGGAGCACUUUGUAAUAAAACCUGUACAAGGAUUUUGUGGACUUUGAUGCUUUGCAUGCGUACUUUGGAAUCUGUGGUCUAUCACUGAUGGACGAAAGUGGAAUUUGCAAAGUUCAUCCUGCUCUGAAUAUAAGCACACGGAC